GCCAGGCACGGUGGCACGUGCCUGUAGUCCCAGCUACUCAGGAGGCUGAAGUGGAAGCAUCGCUUGAGCCCAGGAGUCCUGGGCUGUAGGGCGCUGUGCAGAUCGGGGGUCUGCACUAAGUUCACCAUCAAUAUGGUGACCUCCCGGGAGCGGGGGACCACCAGGUUGCCUAAGGAGGGGUGAACCAGCCCAGGUCAGAAACUGAGCAGGUCAAAACCCCCGUGCUGAUCAGUAGUGAGAUCGCGCCUGUGAAUAGUCACUGCACUCCAGCCUGGGCAACAUAGCAAGGCCCUGUCUCU
rnacentral:SRP_RNA from 1 species